rnacentral:rRNA from 1 species
UACAGAGGGUGCGAGCGUUGUCCGGAAUCACUGGGCGUAAAGGGCGCGUAGGCGGUCUCUUAAGCGUGUGGUGAAAGCCCGGGGCUCAACUCCGGGUCGGCCGUGCGAACUGGGGGACUGGAGCUUGUCAGAGGCAGGCGGAAUUCCGGGUGUGAGCGGUGGAAUGCGUAGAGAUCCGGAAGAACACCGGUGGCGAAGGCGGCCUGCUGGGACAGUGCUGACGCUGAGGCGCGACAGCGUGGGGAGC